AAUGCCCAGGAUGUGAAGUGUGGUGGCCAAGAGCCUGCUUUGACAAAGCUUGUCACAGAGGCCCCGGAAGCAUCUAGAGUUCAGAGGAGCCGUUGCUAAUUAAGUCUGACAGUUUCCCCUUCCUGGGGAGUGCCCAGCGUGUCCCCGCAGAAACGCCGCGUGCAAAAUCUCCAUCCUCAGGGAGCCGCAGCAUACGGUUUCCUUCUGCUCCUCAGAGAUUCGUAAAAUCAACUGAAAACACCUUUGCAAAUCGUAAAGAAAAAAGGCAAGCAGCGGAGCAAAACGUCAGACAGAGUGGUUAUGUCCCAAGGCGCUUCCUUAUGAUUUUGCGAGGCUCAGUGUGAAAGGGGCGCUGCCCAGUGCCCCGGGAAGCUUAUUCACUGGGCUCACACCUGGAUUUCAGCAGGCCUGGCGGCUUACCUGCAGAGAAUUAGCAAUGCCACCAUUAAUUAUGCAACUGACAACAAUGGAUUUGGAAAUACAGGAAAGCAUGUCAUGAAUGUUUCAACCACUGUGUUCUCAAGACUCCAUCAUCUUUAAGUACAUCAGCCAUCAUCGUCAGGACCUCUUCCCCUCACGCAGAGGCCUCGGAGGUGGACUCGACCCACAGGACUUCGGCUGGUGGGUAGAGGGUUGAGCGCCCGGGAGUGGGAGCCACAUGCUUACGUGCCUGGGUGCAUUUGGCAUUAUUUAUUGUCUGCAUUUCUUUUCUUUUAGUAAAGGGAUUAAAAAUUGC